rnacentral:misc_RNA from 1 species
ACGAGUUAGGGUCUUCCAGGCCCGACCUCCCAACCCUAUGUUUAUUGAACCUCUGUUGCUUCGGCGGGCCCGUCUCACGGCCGCCGGAGGACCGCUGAAAGGCGUCCUCUGGCCCGCGUCCGCCGAUGGCCAACCACUCAAACUCUGAAUGAAUCGUGUCAUAUGUCUGAGUCUAUGAUUAAAUUAAAGCA